rnacentral:rRNA from 1 species
UACGGAGGGGGCUAGCGUUGUUCGGAAUUACUGGGCGUAAAGCGCGCGUAGGCGGGCUGUUAAGUCGAGGGUGAAAUCCCGGGGCUCAACCCCGGAACUGCCUUCGAUACUGGCAGCCUAGAGGUCGGGAGAGGUGAGUGGAAUGCCGAGUGUAGAGGUGAAAUUCGUAGAUAUUCGGCGGAACACCCGUGGCGAAGGCGGCUCACUGGCCCGAUACUGACGCUGAGGUGCGAAAGCGUGGGGAGCAAACAGG